CAUAGCAUCAAUCCACAUGCACAGCAUGAUCGAAGAAACAAAGAAAACAACAAACAAAAACGCUACAAACACAUAGGGCGCAGGC
rnacentral:ribozyme from 1 species